rnacentral:misc_RNA from 1 species
UUGUUGUUGCCCGUACGAAACACGGAUGACCCGAGAACGAGUCGACCCACUGGAGGCGCCCGCGUCUCCGUCGAUCCCCCGGCCGUUCGGACAGGCGGCGGACGAGCCGCGUGUGCGGCGGUCGGGAUGCAAAAUCGGCACGGAAAGUGCCAAGGAAAUCGAACCACGAAGACUCCCUCGGGGGUGCGUUGCUGGCCCUUCGAGCGGAAGUCGCCUGUGUAAAUUGCAAAAUGACUCUCGACAACGGAUAUCUUGGCUCUUGCAUCGAUGAAGAACGCAGCGAAAUGCGAUACUUGGUGUGAAUUGCAGAAUCCCGUGAAUCAUUGAGUUUUUGAACGCAAA